rnacentral:lncRNA from 1 species
UCACCUUUUUGAAUUUGAGGGGAAGAAAUCAAGGCUUUGAAAGGCUACGUUCUGCUGUCUGCAUGCGUGUCUCCCGCAGUUGCGUCCUUGUUUCACUAACCACCUGCCUUGAGAAAGUGCAAUGGUUAUUAACCUUGAUCCGUGUCUCAAACUAUGCCGUGCUGGGUCCUUGAAUUUGAGGGAAAUGGGCCUUGAAAUUCCUUGAAUUUGAUAUUUAACCCUGUUUUUUCACUGGACUUUUUCCAAUAUAGCAAAUAUAUUAACUUUUAAUACCAGCAGGCCAUCAAGCCGAAAAUUAUAUCAUUACUCUCAGGCCUGUAGCUUGGAUUAAAUCAGGGGUUUUUCUUGGAAUUAUGGAGGUCAAAGCAGCCUGGGGAGAGAAAUUAAAUUGUGUGUUCAAUCUUUCAUACUGUAGCCUAAGUAUACCAAAAAUCACAGUUUAUUUAGUUAAUUCAGAGAAAUUGUCCAAUUUAACAAAUAACCAGACAUGCAAAUCUUCCUCAAAGCGACUAGCAAAUGUACAUUCACAAAAUAAAUGUUCUAUUGUUUCAACAAAACGAGCUUUUGUUAGCAUGAAUGUACCGCCACAGGAAGAGAGGAGGCCCUGGGCGGGGCUUAGCCGGCAGAGCUCUCCUCUGAUUGGUUAUCCGGACUGUCUCUCAAUAACUCUACUACCGGUGCUUUAUGUUUGUGCGACUGAAACUGCUGCACACAUCCUUGCUAGUGAUAGUACAAAACCCCCCCCACGUGUUUUUUUGGCUUACUGCUCUAUGCUAGUCUGCGGACAGAGCAAACAUUAAUGGCGAAGAGACUUGCCGAGGACACUCUGCUGCACGACGCUCCCUCCAAAAGAUGUUAUCGCUCCCUGAGCAGCACUGACUUGCAUGUGGAAAACAUGGAUCCCACCAACGGGGAUGUGAGCUGCAGAAAGAGGCCGCAAUAUUUCGAAGACCCAGAAAAAGAAAAACAAGAACAAGCAGCUAUUCAUCGCAAACCCAUGGAUUUCUGUGAGCCUAGCAAGCAUGCAGCUAACGCUUUGACGGUGCACACCUCUGGGAGUACGCGCACGAGCUCCAAGAAACGUCCUCGAGAUGACUGCGCGUGUUCAGAGACUGGUAUUCCUAAAGCUGGUGAUAAAUCUCAGGCUGAUGAAGACACCAACACCGAAGACUGCUCUUACAACUGCUUCCAGUUCUGGAGGGUCCCCUUACCUGAACUUGACCUCUCACUACUAGAUGUCAAUGACCAUUCCCGAAGCAGAAAAGACGAGUCAAAAGUGAAAGACUCUUCUUCUGAUGCCAUGGAAACCUGACGAUGACAGAUGCAAGCGAGUCUGCUCUACUCUGUCCGUACAUCAGCAGCCAAACGUGAUAAUAAAAAUGUGCAUUCUCAGCAGAUGGAGACAUCAAAAGCACAAUAAGGUUCAUCCAGGUGAGCUGCGACAACUUAAUGUCGCAGUUGCCCCGUCAGGGAUAUCCUCAUGCAGGUGUAAGACCUCCGUGAUUUAAGUGGAGAAACCAUGCAAUCGGCACUGCAACGUUUACUAGUGGCGACCAAAACUGUGAGGGAAUUUAAGAAAAUCUUGUAAAUUGUUGCCGAUCCAAUCUCAAUUUGUAGAAGGUUUUUUGUAGUGUUACUUUUCAGGCAGCCUGGUGUACAUGUGGGACUAAUGCUUUUUGUUUUGUGCAGAAACAUUGCAAACCUGGUGUCUUAUGAAUAUAAAAUGUUAAAUUGUGUAUGAAAAGAUGCGUCUGCACAUUAGUUGGUAUUCUAAUCGCUCUAUCCUUCAGAGCAUUUUGUUUUGUGUACCUCAUUCUUAAAUUGUUUAGAUUUAUAUAACGAAGUUGUAGAUGUAGAUUUUUUAACACACCUUAUUAAAGGCUUUAGUGUACGCUGUAUUAGUAUUUUAUUACAUGUUAAUGAUGCACCACAUUUCCUGUCUCAGCCACUUGUUUUUAUUGUCAAUAUAACUGUUUCCUAUACUCCUGUGUGAUUUUAUAUUGUUUUAUUAAUCUAUUGGAUCAACAGAAAAACAGAACAAACCGGAAAUCAGAUGUUCAAAGGCAUCCUUAAUGAAAUGUAUUCCAUAAGGCGCUACAAAAUCUAACGUUACAGAGAGAAAUCUGGUAGCAAAUAACAAGUACAUGACAAUAUACAGUAAAUACUGGGCAGGUAGAGUAUGCACAUUCCUGCUGCGGUCUAUAUAAGGCAAGAAGCACUCAUUAACAUGUUUGUUUGCUGUGCAAAAGAUUUAGUUCUGUAAAGGAAAUUGCGAAUUUUGCCGCUCAAUCUGCACUCGAUUACCCAUAAUGAUGAAGUGAAUCGUUAGAAUUAGCAAAUUAAACAAAAACUGAAUUCUCAUUUACACACACAGACUGCAGGCGGUGUAAAUAAUUAAAUGUUGGAUAAGAUAAUUAUGAAUGAAAGCGAGUGACGUGACGAGAAAACACAGGAUCUAUGAAGGUGAACCGUGGUGCCAGUCUGAGGUCACGUGCGCUCUGGAGAAGGUCAGCUUCAUCCAGGGAUAGUAUUAGCAUGUGAUGAGCAGUACCAGACAUAGUGCUCAGAGUUCUGCCCAAAAAGUCUCAUCAGAAAACAUCAUUUAGCUUUUAGAGUCUUUUAAAUGCUGACGACUUCCGAAACCCUCUUAGAGUGACCGCUAGGUUCGUGGUCACCUCCCUGGACAAGCUCCUCGUGCAAGGUUACUCACUGAGUCCUGGUGGUUCCAAACUUCUUCCAUUUCACAACUAUUGAGGCCACUGUGCUCUUGGGAAUAAAGCUCUUGUUUCUAUUUGCUGCAACCAGCAGCUCUAUUGCCUGCUCUGUUGGUUUUGUGGGCCACAGUUUUCGCCCUAGGAGAAUAAAAUGUGGCAUAAAUGUCAAGUGUUUGCAAGGUUGUGUGUGUGAAUGCAUGAACGCGUGGAUGCGUGUGCAUACCUGGUCGCAGCUAUUGGGAAUUUGUGCUUGUUUUAUUUGCCUAAGGAAGGUCAAGCACCAAAAUUAAUGUAUUUUUUUGCAAGUUAGACGUGUGCACGUGUUUGCAGCUUUUGAAGCUCAAAGCUUUAGAAAUGGUUUUAUGAUUUAGGCCUCGUCACAAUUCCAUCGCUGAGGUCUACAGAGAGUUCCUUGGGAUUCAUGGCUUGGUUGACCUUACAGGUACAGGUGUGUGCCCUGAUAAACGAUGUCCAAUCAAUUCAAAUUGUCAAUAAAGUUCUACACUUUUUAAGGAUGAAUUAUCCUUGAGAUGCACCUGGCCACAACUUGGACUGCAAAGAGUCUGAAUACUUGCGUAAAUAAGAGAUUACAGUGUUUGAUUUUUAAUAAAUGUGCAAAGAUCUCUAAAGACAUUUCCUGUUCUGAAGACUUUCUGAAGCUGCUGUAUAUUUGCAGAUGCUGUGAGUCUCCAAUUUGCUUUUUGUGUGAGGGGGCCUGACAACAAGAUGUCAUUUGAAUAUUCAUUUUUAAUCCUCCUCCUUGCCUGCUUUCACUAAUCACAUCUCCCU